CUGGGUGGCUUCGGCCUAAAACCCCCUAACCAUUGUGAACGAUACCAGUUGCUUAGCUGGUGGGCGGUGAAAAACUGCAGUGCCGGCGGCAACAAAAACUCUUCUAAUGUCAUCUCUGAGUUACUUUUAAAUAAGUCA
rnacentral:misc_RNA from 1 species